CCCACCACCCCAAAGACCCAGGCCCUUUUAUGAGAAGGGGUCCCAAAAUGAGCACGAGAUUUAAUGCUGAAAACUUUAUCUCCCUCUUGUCUCUCUCCUCUGUCUCCCUGCCCCUCCCCCAGCCUCUCUAGGUGAGAGAGAUGUCACGGCUUCCCAUUCCUGAUGUUUCUGGAACUUCUAUGCACCCCACCUCACUGAGGUUUUAACCUGCCCCUCAUGCUCCUGUUUGGUCCUCCUCGUCUUCAUUCUCCUAUGAGGAGGGGGCUGUGAAGGCCAGACGCCUUUCCACCCCAGGCAGCCCAGCAAGUGAUGUCUCCAGGGAACUUUGAUUCCCUGGAGACAGACCAGAGCUCUAAAGGGAACUAUUUUCCUUUGGUCCUCUGGCGGACGAGCACAUUCCCCAUAUCAACAACCCUCCUGCCGUCACUUGUCGCUGCUGAAUGUGGUUUGUCACCCGUCCCAGCCUGCCCUGGUCCGGCUGAAGCAGGAACACGAGAGAGACCGUGUGGGCUUUCUGUGCGGCACAGACCCAAGAUAAAUGUGGAACCCAUCUCUCCUCCAGCCGGUUGCGGGGUCAUGGUGCGCCCUCUGGUGGCCGGUCUUUUUUAACGCCUUCACCCACCCAGAUGAGCAUGCUUGAAGGACCUA